UGGCGAGCGGCAGCACAACAGCGGAAAAACAACAACAAAGACCUUUUUUUUUUCAUAGUUUUGUGCGUGUCACGCCCCAACUCCCUCCCGCUUUCCGUGUCCUACCCUCAUAUCCGCAAAUCAUGUGAGCGAAACAGGCGUGUAUGCAUGCGUGCGCAGGUGUGUGCUUUGCGGCUGGUGGCGACACUUCCGUGGAAAGGGGGAGACGGCCGGCGCACUCACGCUCUCCAUCACCGUCCCCCUCCCCCAUUGCCUUCGAUUUCUCGCUCAAAGGAUGAGGAGGAACACAUGCCAACGGCAAUGAAAUGGGGUAGAAGCGCAGUUUUGUGUUUCCGUUUUCGAUGUUGGGGUCUCUGUUGUACACGUGCAUGGAUGCGCCUGUGCAUGUGUGGAGACAUGCUGUGUGCGAUGCACGAGGUGGUGGAUGAUGCGAGCAGAGCUCAAGGAAAAGCACAGCAAGCCCGAUGCGGCGCGAAGCCUGGGGAUGCUCUUCUUUCCAGUAUCUCGCCGUCGCCGUUUGUAUGUCUCUCUCUCUAUAUGUUUUUGUGUGCAUCCGCCAUGCAAACCUCGACAUGGAUGGACACAUCUCACUUGCGUUCUUUUUUUUUGUGGGCUGUACGUGCUCUCCUCGUUUUUUUUUGCCUUUUUUUUCGUUGUACCCUUUCCAUUGGCAUCGCUGGCUGCUUCCGUUUUUUUUUUUUGGUUAAGAUUCCAUGCUCAUUUUUUCGUGAUUCGGGGUCUGCUCGCCCAUGCUUUUACCAGCCGCACAUGUGGCAUAUACAUCUCUAUGUUUUGUCGCGUUGUUUUAUUUAGGUUCUGGGCGCUGCCUCACCUUCCUCUUCUCCCUCCCCCCACGCACACUCGGCCUGCUUUUUGUUUUGCUCUGCCGUCCUUAUUUACUCUGUCCAUGUGACAGUUCUAUGGUGAUUCCCUCUCUCCUUCUCUUGUGAGCACCGAUGCUUUUCUUUUUUUUUUUCAGUUGCGUAUGUUUAUUGUCUCUAUGCCAGCGAUCCUGAUGGUGCCGUCCACCUCACCGAGGUAUCUGGGUCUCGUACCCCACUCUGGGUGUCGGAGGACACGUUCGGGCCGGCACUGUGCGGAAUGCAGCGUUGCAGGACGAUAAAAAGGAACAAUCCCUCUCUCUCCGUGUUUCGUGCGCAUACUUAUACACUCGGAUGCACUCACACAUGUCUGUACUUGUACUUCUCCUACAGCCCCUAACGACGCAUGCACCUCUUGCCCCUCUUCCCCUGUUCCGUCUGCGUCCACGACCAUCCCUCUUUCUCUCUCUGUUUAGUUGUGUGAGGGCGUUUCUCGUCUAUCAUAUUUCAAGUGGUGUGUCUCCACCGCCACGGCCUCUGCCUCUCGUAGAAGCAUCCGCCAAGCAUCCAAAACGAAGCGCAGGGCAAGGGAAAAACAACAACUGCCCUUCUCUCUCUUUUUUUUUGUGUGUGUUGCAUCCACUUCCCGCUGUCCUGCCAUCCGUUGUCGUGAUAAUCGCUCGCUCUUUCUCUGUGUUCGACGCUGACUCUUCUCCGUUUUCUUUCGUUUUUCCGUCUUCCUAUCCGCCUUUGAAGGCCAUCAGCGCAGCGCAAACUACCGCGAUGGUGCAGUGCGUCGCUUGAGCAACGCAAGAAAGAAGCAACUAAGAGGAGAGCGGUACACACACACACACAAACACCUAAACCCAGGGAGACGCAAUAGCAUUGCUCCACUCUUCUGACCUCUCUGUCUCUGAUGUUGUUCACAUGACGAGUGCUAUCGGUUUCUCGCUUUCCGUCUUCAUGCUCGUGCGUGCAUCUCUCACUGCGUGCUGUUGUGAGACGUCGGUUUUGUGAUGAUGAUCCUCAUCUUCCCUGGCUGAGGUAUUCUCUUCGGCAACGCUCUUUUUCUUUGGUCGUUUUCUGUGCGGCGCGAAUUCGCUUUUUCCUUUUCCGUUCUUUCACCUUCGUUCUGCUCUCGUUCUUUCAUUGCCUUCACGCAUGCCUCGUUCUCUUGGCGUGCAGACCUCAGAGAGUGAAAGGAGGGAGGGGGGUAGAGGGGGUGUGAGAGGCAACGACCACCUACACACACACCAACAGCCGCCUCUCCUCUUCAUUCCUCCGUCCGCGUUUUCGCCCAUCCACGUGCAUUUUGUGUCUCUCUGCUUAUGGGCACGUGAUGGACUCCAGGAGGCCUCAGCUGUCUCACGAGUCUCCCUCUCCCCUCCCGUCCUCUCUCUCCCCCUCUCCAUCCCUCUCUAACGACAUUUAUGCUCGCUGUGUUUCAUUGUGCUAUGGCCGCCUUUUUUUAUAAAUAUCUCCCUCUCUUCCUCUCCGCCGCAUCCAAGAAGGAGCAGGACCAGUGCAUUGACGAAACAACGCGCACCCGAAGGCACAGAAAAAGGAAUGGCGCCGUGUCGCCUCCGAUCACGGACCCAAGCGGGCGGGGGCGUACCGUUCCUGUCGCUCAAGAGCCUUCGCAAGAAGAGCAAGGAGCGAUGCAGGCAAGGUAGCAAGGCCCCAGGUGAAGGCGGACGGGGUUGUGUCGAGUUGUUGAGGGAUGCUUGUCACCAGACACGCGCACGUGGAGGGGGGAAUGACGGGCUAGGCGCGCUUGCUUAUCUCCUGUUGCUGCCGGCUCUUCGCAGCUUCGUUGCCCAUCAUCUCUAAGAAAACGGCGACAGCGGUGGGUGUACAGGUGUCUGCAGCUGCGCAUGCCCUUCCAACCUUUGUACUGCAAAAGCGCGGCACUAGUCAAGGAUUGCCUAGGUGGUAAUCAUUACCUACCUUCCCACACCUGCGCUGCCUCUAUCUCGUGCUUCACACGCUCUCUUUAUCUUCCCAACCUUUUAUUUGCGGGCGAUAUCCCUCUCUACUCUCAACCACGCACCGACCUCAUUGUGCACGCCUUCUGCGCAUUUUGAGUUUUGAAUCACCCUGGGACCGAAAUGCUGCCCAG
rnacentral:misc_RNA from 1 species